rnacentral:rRNA from 1 species
GUUGCCAGCCGCCGCGGUAAUACCGGCAGCCCGAGUGAUGGCCGAUCUUAUUGGGCCUAAAGCGUCCGUAGCUGGCCGCGCAAGUCCAUCGGGAAAUCCACCCGCUCAACAGGUGGGCGCCCGGUGGAAACUGUGCGGCUUGGGACCGGAAGGCGCGACGGGUACGUCCGGGGUAGGAGUGAAAUCCCGUAAUCCUGGACGGACCGCCGAUGGCGAAAGCACGUCGCGAGAACGGAUCCGACAGUGAGGGACGAAAGCCAGGGUCUCCAACCGGAUUAGAAACCCGAGUAGUCC